rnacentral:rRNA from 1 species
GAUGAACGCUGGCGGCGUGCCUAAUACAUGCAAGUCGAGCGAACAGACGAGGAGCUUGCUCCUCUGACGUUAGCGGCGGACGGGUGAGUAACACGUGGAUAACCUACCUAUAAGACUGGGAUAACUUCGGGAAACCGGAGCUAAUACCGGAUAAUAUAUUGAACCGCAUGGUUCAAUAGUGAAAGACGGUUUUGCUGUCACUUAUAGAUGGAUCCGCGCCGCAUUAGCUAGUUGGUAAGGUAACGGCUUACCAAGGCAACGAUGCGUAGCCGACCUGAGAGGGUGAUCGGCCCCACUGGAACUGGGACACGGUCCAGACUCCUACGGGAGGCAGCAGUAGGGAAGCUUCCGCAAUGGGCGAAAGCCUGACGGAGCAACGCCGCGUGAGUGAUGAAGGUCUUCGGAUCGUAAAACUCUAUUAUUAGGGAAGAACAAAUGUGUAAGUAACUAUGCACGUCUUGACGGUACCUAAUCAGAAAGCCACGGCUAACUACGUG